UCCCUGAAGGACUAGUGGUUAGGCCUUGGCACCCUCACCGCCACGGCCUGGGUUCAAUUCCGGACCGGGGAA